GACGAACGCUGGCGGCGUGCCUAAUACAUGCAAGUAGGACGCAGUUGGGAACGGGAGAGUAACGCGUAGGUCACUGACUAUUAGAGGGGAAUAACUAACGGAAACGAUAGCUAAUACCGCAUACUAGUAGAUGGACCUGCGUUGUAUUAGCUAGUUGGUUGGGUAAUGGCCGACCUAGGCGACGAUACAUAGCCGACCUGAGAGGGUGAACGGCCACACUGGGACUGAGACACGGCCCAGACUCCUACGGGAGGCAGCAGUAGGGAAUCUUCGGCAAUGGGGGGAACCCUGACCGAGCAACGCCGCGUGAGUGAUGAAGGUGUUCGGGUUGUAAAGCUCUGUUGUUAAGGAAGCGGUACUUAACCAGAAAGGGACGGCUAACUACGUGCCAGCAGCCGCGGUAAUUC
rnacentral:rRNA from 1 species